rnacentral:rRNA from 1 species
AAUAGGGGGGGCUAAUCAUGCAAGUCGAGCGGUAGCACAAAGGAGCUUGCUCCUUGGGUGACGAGCGGCGGACGGGUGAGUAAUGUCUGGGAAACUGCCUGAUGGAGGGGGAUAACUACUGGGAACGGUAGCUAAUACCGCAUAACGUCGCAAGACCAAAGAGGGGGACCUUCGGGCCUCUUGCCAUCGGAUGUGCCCAGAUGGGAUUAGCUAGUAGGUGAGGUAAAGGCUCACCUAGGCGACGAUCCCUAGCUGGUCUGAGAGGAUGACCAGCCACACUGGAACUGAGACACGGUCCAGACUCCUACGGGAGGCAGCAGUGGGGAAUAUUGCACAAUGGGCGCAAGCCUGAUGCAGCCAUGCCGCGUGUGUGAAGAACGCCUUCGGGUUGUAAAGCACUUUCAGCGGGGAGGAAGGGAGCAGGCUUAAUACGUCUGUUCAUUGACGUUACCCGCAGAAGAAGCACCGGCUAACUCCGUGCCAGCAUCCGCGGUAAUACGGAGGGUGCAAGCGUUAAUCGGAAUGACUGGGCGUAAAGCGCACGCAGGCGGUCUGUUAAGUUGGAUGUGAAAUCCCCGGGCUUAACCUGGGAACUGCAUUCAAAACUGACAGGCUAGAGUCUCGUAGAGGGGGGUAGAAUUCCAGGUGUAGCGGUGAAAUGCGUAGAGAUCUGGAGGAAUACCGGUGGCGAAGGCUGCCGCCUGGACGAAGACUGACGCUCAGGUGCGAAAGCUUGGGGAGCAAGCAGGAUUAGAUACCCUGGUAGUCCACGCUGUAAACGAUGUCGAUUUGGAGGUUGUGGUCUUGAACCGUGGCUUCCGGAGCUAACGCGUUAAAUCGACCGCCUGGGGAGUACGGCCGCAAGGUUAAAACUCAAAUGAAUUGACGGGGGCCCGCACAAGCGGUGGAGCAUGUGGUUUAAUUCGAUGCAACGCUAAGAACCUUACCUACUCUUGACAUCCAGAGAAGACUGCAGAGAUGCGGUUGUGCCUUCGGGAGCUCUGAGACAGGUGCUGCAUGGCUGUCGUCAGCUCGUGUUGUGAAAUGUUGGGUUAAGUCCCGCAACGAGCGCAACCCUUAUCCUUUGUUGCCAGCACUUCGGGUGGGAACUCAAGGGAGACUGCCGGUGAUAAACCGGAGGAAGGUGGGGAUGACGUCAAGUCAUCAUGGCCCUUACGAGUAGGGCUACACACGUGCUACAAUGGCGUAUACAAAGAGAAGCGACCUCGCGAGAGCAAGCGGACCUCAUAAAGUACGUCGUAGUCCGGAUUGGAGUCUGCAACUCGACUCCAUGAAGUCGGAAUCGCUAGUAAUCGUAGAUCAGAAUGCUACGGUGAAUACGUUCCCGGGCCUUGUACACACCGCCCGUCACACCAUGGGAGUGGGUUGCAAAAGAAGUAGGUAGCUUAACCUUCGGGAGGGCGCUACCCACUUUUUGUUU